UACGGGGGAGCAAGCGUUGUUCGGAUUUACUGGGCGUAAAGGGCGCGUAGGCGGCCAGCACAAGUCAGUUGUGAAAUCUCCGAGCUUAACUCGGAAAGGUCAACUGAUACUGUGCGGCUAGAGUGCAGAAGGGGCAACUGGAAUUCUUGGUGUAGCGGUGAAAUGCGUAGAUAUCAAGAGGAACACCUGCGGCGAAGGCGGGUUGCUGGGCUGACACUGACGCUGAAGCGCGAAAGCCAGGGGAGCGAACGGG
rnacentral:rRNA from 1 species